AACGUAGGUGGCGAGCGUUAUCCGGAUUUACUGGGCGUAAAGCGUGUGCAGGCGGCCUUACAAGUGGUGUAUGAAAUAUCCAGGCUCAACCUGGAGGGGUUAUGCCCGACUGUGAGGCUAGAGUGCGAGAGAGGGGCGUGGAAUUCCGGGUGUAGUGGUGAAAUGCGUAGAGAUCCGGAGGAACCCCAGAGGCGAAGGCGGCGCCCUGGCUCGCAACUGACGCUCAGACACGACAGCAUGGGGAGCGAACGGG
rnacentral:rRNA from 1 species